rnacentral:rRNA from 1 species
AUUGAACGCUGGCGGCAGGCUUAACACAUGCAAGUCGAGCGGGGAAGAGUAGCUUGCUACUUGACCUAGCGGCGGACGGGUGAGUAAUGCUUAGGAAUCUGCCUAUUAGUGGGGGACAACAUCUCGAAAGGGAUGCUAAUACCGCAUACGUCCUACGGGUGAAAGCAGGGGACCUUCGGGCCUUGCGCUAAUAGAUGAGCCUAAGUCGGAUUAGCUAGUUGGUGGGGUAAAGGCCUACCAAGGCGACGAUCUGUAGCGGGUCUGAGAGGAUGAUCCGCCACACUGGGACUGAGACACGGCCCAGACUCCUACGGGAGGCAGCAGUGGGGAAUAUUGGACAAUGGGGGGAACCCUGAUCCAGCCAUGCCGCGUGUGUGAAGAAGGCCUUUUGGUUGUAAAGCACUUUAAGCGAGGAGGAGGCUACCGAGAUUAAUACUCUUGGAUAGUGGACGUUACUCGCAGAAUAAGCACCGGCUAACUCUGUG